rfam:Rhizobium sp. YS-1r CONTIG.51, whole genome shotgun sequence.
CACACGUAGGGCAUGGGAUCGUCCGGGAGAAAUCCGGGCUUUUCCGCCGGUGGCAUUCCCGAAGGGUUUGCUGAUCGCCUUGCGGAGGUUCAACCGGAAAAGGAGAAAAAGG